rnacentral:rRNA from 1 species
AUUGAACGCUGGCGGCAUGCCUUACACAUGCAAGUCGAACGGCAGCACGGGAGCAAUCCUGGUGGCGAGUGGCGAACGGGUGAGUAAUGUAUCGGAACGUGCCCAGUCGUGGGGGAUAACGCAGCGAAAGCUGUGCUAAUACCGCAUACGAUCUAUGGAUGAAAGCGGGGGGUCGCAAGACCUCGCGCGAUUGGAGCGGCCGAUAUCAGAUUAGGUAGUUGGUGGGGUAAAGGCCCACCAAGCCGACGAUCUGUAGCUGGUCUGAGAGGACAACCAGCCACACUGGAACUGAGACACGGUCCAGACUCCUACGGGAGGCAGCAGUGGGGAAUUUUGGACAAUGGGCGCAAGCCUGAUCCAGCAAUGCCGCGUGCAGGAUGAAGGCCUUCGGGUUGUAAACUGCUUUUGUACGGAACGAAACGGUUCUCUCUAAUACAGGGGGCUAAUGACGGUACCGUAAGAAUAAGCACCGGCUAACUACGUGCCAGCCGCCGCCGUAA